UACACAUAAAUUGUUACUAAAAAUUUUAUUUUCGAAACAUAUACAAGUGGGAUCUAGUUUUAUUUGGCUUAUCGCAUAAAACACACCGAUAUGAACAGAAUUAAAAAGAGAUAUACCAUUUAAAAGUUAUACCAUUUUAUGGCAUCAGCAGUAUUGGGAAGCGUAUGGAAAGUGAAUUGAGUAUAGGCGUGAUUUUAUCAUCCAAAAAAAAUAGGCGUGAAUUAUUUUCCUACGUUUUCAAAAAUAAUUAGUUUCUAAAACAAAAAAUACUGAUGAAUCUUAAAGGGAAUGUUACUCUCACAGUUGUUCUCAAAAUUUAAAUUAGGUGCAAGUUUAAAUUUGCGGAAAAUAAAAAGUAAUGUUGUAUAACUUAGUAUGCUUAUCUUAUUCCUUAAAGUUAUAUUGUAUAACUUAGUUAGUGUAAGUUAUGUGCGCAACGGAAAAGAAAAAGUAAUGAUGUAUAACUUAGUAUGCUUAACUUAUUUCUUAAAGUUAUGUUGUGUAACUUAGUUAGUGUAAGUUAUGUGUGCACGCUUUUUUUUAAAAAAAUGGUACAAAUGAAUGUUAAAAUAAAAUGCUACGCAUUUUUUAGAAUAAAAAUAUAACGUUAUGUGUGUUAGAGUGCGCAAAAAGAGAAAGAGAUAUGUGUACGUCCCGUUCUUAAAAAGUCCAUACAAAUCAGGUUAUCCAAAAAGAAAACAUGCGGGAAUAAUUUUCUUGCCAAAAAAGGAAAACUUUUCGCUGAUCUAGGUACUGGUGAACGUUCGUUAAUUAGUGGUGGCCGGAGGCCUUCUUUCUUUCUCAUAUGUCAGGUCUUCAAAACAUAUCCAUGUAAAUCGUCUGAUGCAGGCGAGUCAUGGGAGCAGGUUAUGGUAGUUUUUUUAAUCGUUCUUAACUGCUUUCCGUAAACUACAGAAUGCUGUAUUUCCGUUGGAUGCAAUGGGAAUGUGGAAGGUUCCUCACGUAAAAAACAAAAAGAACCAAAAGAGGAUAUGCGUAUUGGUAAUAAAGCAUAGAUGAGAUAUAUCGAUAUUUUUUAUGUGUGUGUGUGGCUAGGAACUCUUGCAGUACAUCACCAGGAAAACUAAAAGGGGAUGACUAUUUCAUGAAUUCAGAGACAAUUGGAUUAUUGUUCGUGUGCUCUGCAAAUUCAGUCUCCUUUACUGGAAACAGAGGGUAUCCACUGAAAACCGAAGCUAUUUCUUUUUGACAAAUAGCAGCUUUAUUGAAUUAGCAGCAAGACGCUGCAAUUAUAUUACAGACACUACACAAGUCUUUUAUCGCUGUCUUUAGCGGACAGGAUGGUACAUGCUGCAGAUUGGAGCAGGAACAAGUUGGUUGCCCCUUGUUCUCGUGAAACCCUGAGAGAGCUUGCCUAGCUAGGGAGUGAGCCUCAGCAUUUUGCUUCCUAUCUAUUUUAAGGACUGAGCCCUGUACUCUGUCCUUGUUGUUGCAGAAGACUUGAGUGAAAGGCUUUAUUCUCUAAUCUGGUGGUCUGUCCAAGUUAUCCUUCUGUAAGUUGUCCACCAAUGUCUGAUUGUCCGUGAAGAAAAGGACAGAUUGGAGACCAAGACCUGCAGCAAGAAUUGAGGUAAAGGAGAGAGCUGCUGCUUCAGCCAUCAGAACUGAGGAGCAGUUUUCAAAUGUCGCCGAGAUGGUGUUGGAGUUGUGGUUGAGUAGCGUAGAGAUUCAACUGGCUUCCGUGGUAUUUGGUGGCCUCCCUUGCCACCUGAUUGUUAGUGUGUAUGUGCGCCCGAGUUGCAUAAUGGACCUGCAAAACAGACCAUUUUCUUUGUCGAAAGCGAAGCUCAUUCCGAGCUUUCCAAAUGAACCAUAAGGUGGUUAUUAUUUUGAUCA